UGUGCUCCUAGAGACAUUAUAGGUGUGGCUACUGUAUCACAUGUGAAUCAAUAGGUGGCAAAGAGCUGGGAUGGUACACCUAUGCUUAGUAUUCUGAUUUAUGAACAUCUGAAUGAUUAGUAGCCUAACUUG
ensembl:snoRNA Gm26278 small nucleolar RNA SNORA17